rnacentral:rRNA from 1 species
GACGAACGCUGGCGGCGUGCUUAACACAUGCAAGUCGAACGGAAAGGCCCUGCUUUUGUGGGGUGCUCGAGUGGCGAACGGGUGAGUAACACGUGAGUAACCUGCCCUUGACUUUGGGAUAACUUCAGGAAACUGGGGCUAAUACCGGCUAGGAGCUCCUGCUGCAUGGUGGGGGUUGGAAAGUUUCGGCGGUUGGGGAUGGACUCGCGGCGUAUCAGCUUGUUGGUGGGGUAGUGGCUUACCAAGGCUUUGACGGGUAGCCGGCCUGGGAGGGUGACCGGCCCCACUGGGACUGAGAUAAGGCCCAGCCUACCACGGGAGGCAGCAGUGGAGAAGAGAACACAAUGGGCGGAAGCCUGAUGCAGCAACGCCGCGUGCGGGAAGACGGCCUUCGGGUUGUAAACCGAUGUCGCCUGUGACGAAGCGUGGGUGACGGUAAUGGGUAAAGAAGCACCGGCUAACUACGUG